UCCUGCUCAGCUCCCUCCGCGCCGCUUAAUGAAACUGGAAUAUGACAUCAGACCAGCUCCCGGCAUCACUAAGCGGCGUGCGAGGGAGCUGAGCAGGA